AGUGAACGCUGGCGGUAGGCCUAACACAUGCAAGUCGAACGGCAGCACAGUAAGAGCUUGCUCUUACGGGUGGCGAGUGGCGGACGGGUGAGGAAUACAUCGGAAUCUACUUUUUCGUGGGGGAUAACGUAGGGAAACUUACGCUAAUACCGCAUACGACCUACGGGUGAAAGCAGGGGAUCUUCGGACCUUGCGCGAUUGAAUGAGCCGAUGUCGGAUUAGCUAGUUGGCGGGGUAAAGGCCCACCAAGGCGACGAUCCGUAGCUGGUCUGAGAGGAUGAUCAGCCACACUGGAACUGAGACACGGUCCAGACUCCUACGGGAGGCAGCAGUGGGGAAUAUUGGACAAUGGGCGCAAGCCUGAUCCAGCCAUACCGCGUGGGUGAAGAAGGCCUUCGGGUUGUAAAGCUCUUUUGUUGGGAAGGAAAAGCAGCAGGUUAAUACCCCGCUGUUCUGACGGUACCCAAAGAAUAAGCACCGGCUAACUUCGUG
rnacentral:rRNA from 1 species